rnacentral:rRNA from 1 species
UAUUGGUCAGUGGGCGGGAGCCUGAACCAGCCAAGUCGCGUGAGGGAGUAAGGCCCUACGGGUCGUAAACCUCUUUUGCCGGGGAGCAGGGCGGCGGACGUGUCCGCCGUUUGAGAGCACCCGGAGAAAAAGCAUCGGCUAACUCCGUGCCAGCAGCCGCGGUAAUACGGAGGAUGCGAGCGUUAUCCGGAUUUCUUGGGUUUAAAGGGUGCGCAGGCGGAGGCACAAGUCAGCGGUAAAAUCGCGGGGCUCAACCCCGCUCCGCCGUUGAAACUGUGUCCCUUGAGUGCGCGAAGGGUAGGCGGAAUGCGUGGUGUAGCGGUGAAAUGCAUAGAUAUCACGCAGAACUCCGAUCGCGAAGGCAGCCUACCGGCGCGCAACUGACGCUCAUGCACGAAAGCGUGGGUAUCG